UCUGAUGGAGCACGCCGCGUGAGUGAAGAAGGUUUUCGGAUCGUAAAGCUCUGUUGUUGGUGAAGAAGGAUAGAGGUAGUAACUGGCCUUUAUUUGACGGUAAUCAACCAGAAAGUCACGGCUAACUACGUGCCAGCAGCCGCGGUAAUACGUAGGUGGCAAGCGUUGUCCGGAUUUAUUGGGCGUAAAGCGAGCGCAGGCGGAAAAAUAAGUCUAAUGUGAAAGCCCUCGGCUUAACCGAGGAACUGCAUCGGAAACUGUUUUUCUUGAGUGCAGAAGAGGAGAGUGGAACUCCAUGUGUAGCGGUGGAAUGCGUAGAUAUAUGGAAGAACACCAGUGGCGAAGGCGGCUCUCUGGUCUGCAACUGACGCUGAGGCUCGAAAGCAUGGGUAGCGAACAGGAUUAGAUACCCUGGUAGUCCAUGCCGUAAACGAUGAGUGCUAAGUGUUGGGAGGUUUCCGCCUCUCAGUGCUGCAGCUAACGCAUUAAGCACUCCGCCUGGGGAGUACGACCGCAAGGUUGAAACUCAAAGGAAUUGACGGGGGCCCGCACAAGCGGUGGAGCAUGUGGUUUAAUUCGAAGCAACGCGAAGAACCUUACCAGGUCUUGACAUCUAGUGCAAUCUGUAGAGAUAUGGAGUUCCCUUCGGGGACGCUAAGACAGGUGGUGCAUGGCUGUCGUCAGCUCGUGUCGUGAGAUGUUGGGUUAAGUCCCGCAACGAGCGCAACCCUUGUUAUUAGUUGCCAGCAUUAAGUUGGGCACUCUAAUGAGACUGCCGGUGACAAACCGGAGGAAGGUGGGGAUGACGUCAAGUCAUCAUGCCCCUUAUGACCUGGGCUACACACGUGCUACAAUGGGCAGUACAACGAGAAGCAAGCCUGCGAAGG
rnacentral:rRNA from 1 species